rnacentral:piRNA from 1 species
CGGCAGAAGCUAUGAUUACUUUGGUGG